rnacentral:rRNA from 1 species
UACGUAGGGGGCGAGCGUUGUCCGGAGUUACUGGGCGUAAAGCGCUUGUAGGCGGUCCACCAAGUUUGGGGUGACAGUUGCCGACUUAAUCGGCAAAGUGCCUCAAAGACUGGCGGACUUGAGGGCCACAGAGGGACAUGGAACUCCAGGUGUAGUGGUGAAAUGCGUAGAUAUCUGGAAGAACACCAAAGGCGAAGGCAGUGUCCUGGGUGGUCGCUGACGCUGAGGCACGAAAGCUGGGGGAGCGAACAGG